GCUAUUGUGGGCUUUUGCCUCUAUGACAACCCUUGUAUUUUUACACUAGUGAUGGAGGCUGCAGGCUAAAGCCCUUGGAAAGAUUAUUUACAUCAUCUAUGAAGGACCUGGAUCUUGUGUCUAGCUAUGGUAAAUCUGUAGUCCUUUGUAUUUUGGACAAGUCGCUGACGGUGGUCGCUCUUCUCUCGUGGACUCCAAGUGUUCCAUAUUUUCUUUUUUCGAUGAAGUAAGCCCAAAUGUUCUACUUUGAUUUAGCAUGUCC
rnacentral:lncRNA from 1 species